rnacentral:rRNA from 2 species
AGUGACGAUAGCCUAGGAGAUACACCUGUACCCAUGCCGAACACAGAAGUUAAGCCCUAGAACGCCGGAAGUAG